rnacentral:rRNA from 1 species
CAGUAGCCGCGGGAAUACAGAGGGUGCGAGCGUUAAUCGGAUUUACUGGGCGUAAAGCGUGCGUAGGCGGCUUCUUAAGUCGGAUGUAAAAUCCCUGAGCUUAACUUAGGAAUUGCAUUCGAUACUGGGAAGCUAGAGUAUGGGAGAGGAUGGUAGAAUUCCAGGUGUAGCGGUGAAAUGCGUAGAGAUCUGGAGGAAUACCGAUGGCGAAGGCAGCCAUCUGGCCUAAUACUGACGCUGAGGUACGAAAGCAUGGGGAGCAAACAGGAUUAGAUACCCCUGUAGUCCCUGUCUCUUAUAA